CUUUCAGUGCCUGAUUGGAACACUGUGGAAAAAAGUGGGGGCAGGAAGGAGACAAGAGCUUUGAUGGUGUGGGGACUUCUGCCUUUGUGUACUCCUCACAGUUUACUGCCUGUGGAGUUUCCACAUAAGUGGACCAUCAGCCAACUGCCUGUCCACCCAUCCAUCCAUCGAUUUAUUAAUCUGUCCAUCCAUUCUUCCAUUUAUCCAUCCGUCUUCCAUCCAACCAUCCAUCCAUCCAUCCAUCCAUCCAUCCAUCCAUCCAUCCAUUCAUUUAUUCAUUCAUCCAUUCAUCCUUCCAUUUAACCAUCCAUCUACCCAUUCAUCCAUCCAUCCUUCCCUUUACCCAUCCAUCUCUCCAUUCAUCUAUCCUUCCAUUUAUCCAUCCAUCCAUUCAUCCAUUUAUCCAUCUAUCCAUCCAUCCUUCCACU
rnacentral:lncRNA from 1 species